rnacentral:lncRNA from 1 species
CCCAAACCUCUAUUUUAUCCCUCCCCUCCUCAUUUUGGCUUACUGAGGACUCAGGUGGACUUUGUGGGCCAGUCUGAUCCCUAGACUAACCUCUGUCAGAAGACAUUUAGGCGUCAUUUCAUCUGCAUGACACCCUGAUGAUACACUUACCAUAGUGUUUCCUUCCCACACAAGGGAAAGCUUGGUUGUAGUGAAAUCACAGCCAUGCAGCGCACAGGUAGAUUCAGCCUCUAAUGACGUCACUUGAUGAAACAGGCAGUCAUCACACAUGGAAAAUCUCAAGUCACAUGAAUGCCAUCUGUAUUUAUCAGAGUGCGGGAGACAGGAAGAGAGUGUUCAUGCCAAAUGGGUAUUUGGGGGAGUUUAAUAAAGGGAGCAUUUUACAAAAGUGGGGGCAGGGUAAGCUAGGGUCGGGGUUAAGAGGUACAAACUACUAUGUACAA